rnacentral:rRNA from 1 species
GUAGGGAAUAUUGGGCAAUGGUCGGAAGACUGACCCAGCCAUGCCGCGUGCAGGAAGACGGCCCUCUGGGUUGUAAACUGCUUUUAUCUGGGAAGAAAAAGGCCAUGCGUGGCAAAUUGCCGGUACCAGAUGAAUAAGCACCGGCUAACUCCGUGCCAGCAGCCGCGGUAAUACGGAGGGUGCGAGCGUUGUCCGGAUUUAUUGGGUUUAAAGGGUGCGUAGGCGGCUGAUUAAGUCAGCGGUGAAAGACUUCGGCUUAACGGGAGCAGUGCCGUUGAUACUGGUUGGCUUGAGUGUCGGAGGGGUACAUGGAAUUGAUGGUGUAGCGGUGAAAUGCAUAGAUACCAUCAGGAACACCGAUAGCGAAGGCAUUGUACUGGCCGACAACUGACGCUGAUGCACGAAAGUGUGGGGAUCGAACAGGAUUAGAAACCCCAGUAGUCC